rnacentral:rRNA from 1 species
UACGUAGGGGGCGAGCGUUAUCCGGAUUUAUUGGGCGUAAAGCGUGUGUAGGCGGUUUGUUAAGUCUAAAAUUAAAGCCUGAGGCUUAACCUCAGUUCGUUUUAGAAACUGGCAGACUUGAGUGUGGUAGAGGCAAGUGGAAUUUCUAGUGUAGCGGUUAAAUGCGUAGAUAUUAGAAGGAACACCAGUGGCGAAGGCGGCUUGCUGGGCCAUUACUGACGCUGAGACACGAAAGCGUGGGGAGC